rnacentral:rRNA from 1 species
GUGGGGAAUCUUCCGCAAUGGACGAAAGUCUGACGGAGCAACGCCGCGUGAGUGAUGAAGGUCUUCGGAUUGUAAAGCUCUGUUAAUCGGGACGAAAGAGCCUAGUGUGAAUAAUGCUAGGAAGUGACGGUACCGGAAUAGAAAGCCACGGCUAACUACGUGCCAGCAGCCGCGGUAAUACGUAGGUGGCAAGCGUUGUCCGGAAUUAUUUGGCGUAAAGCGCGCGCAGGCGGAUCUGUCAGUCUGUCUUAAAAGUUGGGGGCUUAACCCCGUGAUUGGAUGGAAACUACAGAUCUAGAGUAUCGGAGAGGAAAGUGGAAUUCCUAGUGUAGCGGUGAAAUGCGUAGAUAUUAGGAAGAACACCAGUGGCGAAGGCGACUUUCUGGACGAUGUCUGACGCUGAGGCGCGAAAGCUAGGGGAGCGAACGGGAUUAGAUACCCCAGUAGUCC